UGUGUGUGUGUGUGUGUGAGUGUGUGUGUGUGUGUGUGUGUGCGUGUGAGUGUGUGUGUGUGUGACCCCUGCUCCCACCUCAGCUGAAAGCACAGCGUUCCACUCAAUUAGUGGCAUGAAAUAUUAAUGCCUGUCUGGGGUUGUAUUUAUGUUUACACUGGGAUUAAAAGCCUCCGGUGUCGGCUAUCACACUGAAGAUGUGUGUGUGUGUGUGUGUGUGUGUGUGUGUGUCUGCUGCCUUCAGUCCUAACACUGAGUUCGUCAAACAGACUAGUGACGUUUUGACUACACCUCCAGAUAUCCGACAUCAUCUUCAAGUGCAAACUGCGAUUACAAACUUCCUUUACUGUUAAUUCAAGCCUUCCUUUCGCUACAGUCCAAGUGUUUUGGUUUGCCAGAGAGAGAGAGAGAGAGAGAUGAUUUGGAAGACGCGGAUGAUGACGGAGCGAUUCCGCUGGUAAUCUGUUUUUUGAAUCCGUCUCGCUCUCCCCAAGUGUCCAGACGUCGCCAGGAGGAUCGGCAGGCCGCGCGCAGCUAAGAUGCAGUGUGGCUGUAACUCCCCCAUAGGACCCAUCAUCUCUCCAUGCUGGAACCGAGUGCUGUUCCCUGAUUGGGC